AAGAAAAAAAAGUUUAAUUUUUAGAUGAGAUAUUCCAGGUGCUUUUUUAAGAAUUUGGUUAUUCUAUACAGAACAUACAAUUAUUUCAACAUACAAGGUACUCUAUCUUGAAUACUCUAUUUUGAAAUUUCAGAAACCAUUUUAAAAGCUUUGUCUUGUUUCCAAAAAAAUGAGGCAAAAUGCUUAUUAUAAAACACUAGUUUUCAGCACUGCGUACAUUGUAAGUAGUUCAUUAAUGUUCAUCUUUAACUUAAAUGUUAAACCUGAGGAAUUAGAGUUUUUAUUAUCAGAACUGCAUAGCAAAAUCAUGUCCAGAUGAUAGAAAAACCAAAUAAUCUGUGGAUCAAGAUAAUUUGUAAGCCACUUAAUUCAGUUUAAAGCAAAACAAGUUAUGUUAGGAGAGAUAAUAAAUGAUAUCCAGGUUAACAGAGUUUUGAAAUGUGUCAUUGUGUUUUUAAAAACAGUAACGCAACAAAAGUUAUCAAAUGUUUUAAAUGGUCA
rnacentral:lncRNA from 1 species